rnacentral:misc_RNA from 1 species
GGCAUCUGUGCUUCUGCUAUAACCAUUCAUGGCUAUAAGUGCCAAGAAAUUCAGGUUACAACCAGAGAUGGGUACGUCCUGAGUGUGCAAAGGAUCUUAGAAGGUCGCGGUGGGGAUGGUGGUGGAGUCAAGAAGCAGCCGGUCAUCAUACAGCAUGGCGUUCUUGUGGACGGAGUGACAUGGGUACUGAAUUCAGCAGAGCAAAACCUGCCAAUGAUUCUAGCGGAUAAUGGGUAUGACGUUUGGAUCGCAAACACACGAGGAACUCGGUUCAGCCGCCGCCACACCUCCCUAAGCCCCUCCGACCCAACCUUCUGGAAUUGGUCCUGGGACGAGCUCCUCAUCUAUGAUCUCCCCGCCCUUUUCGACCAUGUUUCUCAACAAACUGCUCACAGGAUCCACU